UAGGGAAUCUUCCACAAUGGACGCAAGUCUGAUAGAGCAACGCCGCGUGAGUGAAGAAGGUCUUCGGAUCGUAAAACUCUGUUGUUAGAGAAGAACACGAGUGAGAGUAACUGUUCAUUCGAUGACGGUAUCUAACCAGCAAGUCACGGCUAACUACGUGCCAG
rnacentral:rRNA from 1 species